GUGUGUGUGUGUGUGUGUGUGUGUGUGUGUGUGUGUGUGUGUGUGUGUGUGUGUGAAAUGAAGUGCAAAAUCAAUGACCUCACAAAUGAUCCCUCUUCCGAUUGGUCCAGAUCAAUAUCAUCAUUAAUCCAUUUUCAACAUCUCAACCCUUACCAUCAAGGGUCAUGGAAUCUCACUCCGAUCGUCCUCUGCGCGCGCACACACACACACACACACACACACACACACACACACACACACACACACACAGGUAUGUUAAAUUAGGCAUCCUGUAGAACCCUCUCCACCCAGUCCCACGUCCCUCUCUCUCUCGUUUCAGGGCUGUUUUCUUAUCACUCUUUUUCUUUGUCAUCGGAACAUCCCUUUCUUUUUUUCCUUUCUUUUUAAGUUAGUGUUUUGGUCUUUUGUUUUCUUGUUGUUGUUUUUUUUUAUAUAAAAAAAAUAUAUCAAAUAUAAGGAACUAUUCAACGCGGGUGUUGCAUGAAUGUAUGUUUACAUGGGGAAAUUAUAUAAAAAUGACAUUGAGAAAAAAAAAAAAUACAAAGGCAAAAAUUAUUUAU